ensembl:snRNA U6 U6 spliceosomal RNA
GUGCUUGGUUCGGCAGUACAUACACUAAGAUUGGAACGUUACAGAGAAGAUUAGCAUGGCCCCUGUGAAAGGAUGACACACAAAUUCAUGAGAUGUUCCAUAUGUUU